rnacentral:rRNA from 1 species
UACGAAGGGGGCUAGCGUUGCUCGGAAUCACUGGGCGUAAAGGGUGCGUAGGCGGGUCUUUAAGUCAGAGGUGAAAUCCUGGAGCUCAACUCCAGAACUGCCUUUGAUACUGAAGAUCUUGAGUCCGGGAGAGGUGAGUGGAACUGCGAGUGUAGAGGUGAAAUUCGUAGAUAUUCGCAAGAACACCAGUGGCGAAGGCGGCUCACUGGCCCGGUUCUGACGCUGAGGCGCGAAAGCGUGGGGAGCAAACAGG